ensembl:lncRNA
CUACACGGACCAAGAUCAGCAGUGCCUGUGUCCCUGCUUGUGUCCCUCUGCUGGGGUGCUGCUUCAGGGAUCACCCAGCUGGAGAGCUGAUGGUUGGAUUUUUGCCCAACCUUGGCCUGGGGUUAUCCAGGGGAGGAGGCCCAUAGUCUCAGGACUACAUAUCCUUGUGAGCUGCUUGUGUUGUGAAUUCUGUACUAAGACACAGGCACCAAAGAUGUGCGCAUCAGGGCGGAUUGACCAGAAUCACCUGAGUGUAACACAGAGGAUGCAAAAAAAUUACUGUGUUCUCUGCAUCCUUUGGUUGGCUAUGCCAGGAGUUUUACUUGGGCUUCUUUUUUUGGACAGGUCCAAUAGGAGUCAGCAUUAAUACUAGCAUGAAGCUUGCUUACUGUAGCAUUCUUAAGUCUUUAGACUUGUUACUUCCUAUUUGGGAUCUCUUUAGGGUUAUAGUCUGUGUCCCUGCUGAUUUAAAAGGAAGAAAAUGCACGUACAUGCUGAAAUCUCAUUAUCAUACUCCUGCUGCCAGACCAUGUCACGUGGUAGGAAAAGCAAGGCUACUCCUCAGUGGAAAAGUAGGAGCCAAGUAAGCAACAGGCCAGCAGUACCUGAGCAAUGUAAGCAGGUCAGGCUUGGAGAUGGUAUUCAAGACAACCCAAGAAUCCAGGGCAUGAGACAAUACUGUAGCAAUGCUGCAGAUUCAAGACUAAGCUAGUCCACAUGUAGAAUGCAAGAUCAAGGGUCUCCAUAGACAUGCACAGCGGUAGCUGAGCUAAAGACCAGCACUCUACCAAUGCAGCUCAGACAGAAAGCAAAUGCCCGGGACUUGGCUUAAAUAGGGCUCAACAGCCUCUGCUGUUGUUGGUUGGAAAGUCCCUGAUAAGGUUGGCCGUGUCCUUUAAGGCUUAGUAGCGUCCUCAGGGCCCUGACACUGCAGAUCUGCUGAUAAGUCUGCUCUGCUGUAGCCAUGUUGGACUGCAGGUCUUCUGGCCUGAUAACCAUCAGCAGUGGGCUGCUGCUGCUGUUAGUCAACAUUUUGUUGCUGUAUGACAGAUGGCAGCAGAGGGGCAAUCUGAUAAAAUGGCAUCUGACAUGGAAGUGUGUAUGAAACAAAGGUGUGACAUUGAAUUCCUCUGUGCAGAAAAAAUGGCAUACACUGAUAUUCAUCAAUGCUUGCUGAAUGUUUAUGGAGACCCAGCAGUGGAUGUGAGCACAGUGAGGCAGUGGGUGGUGCAUUUCAGCAGUGGUGACAAUGAUGUAAAAGUCAAGCCACAUUCUGGAUGGCCAUGCACAGCUGUCGCAUCUUGAAAUGAAGUGUGUCUCAAUCAGUUCAUCUGCAUAAAUUGGAUAGUAGUGAUGACUAUUCUGAAAAAUGAUGUUUUGUAGCUGAGAAUUUGCUCUAUCAAUUAGUGUCAUUGUGCUCUUCGUAGCUGUUGUAGUUUCCAUGGAAAUAAAUAGGUGACAUUACUUUCUGAGCAACCUACAUUUAUAUGCUGAGCUUCCCCAAGUAAAUGUAAAAUAGAAUCUCAACCAAAAUUCAUAUGCUCUGCCAUUGUCCCUGUGGCAAAUAUCUGUUACUUUAGUAGACCAAUGCUAUGUCCAAAUCAUUUUUAUUGCAAUAAGAAAGCAGCCAUGUUUUGAAAGGAUUUAACAUUUUUAGGUAGCCUUCUUUCAUUCUUUGUAGUAUGGGACAUUUUCUGGAGAUUACAAGGAGCUGUUAUCAGCUUUUAUCUGUUUUCUGUUUUUCUGGUUUUCUUUUUCCUUUUUUUUUUUUUCUUUUAGUCAUUUUCUUUCCUAUUUUUUGUCCUUUUCUCUUUUUUUCCCUUAUUCUUUCUUUUCUACUUUCUUUUUCCUUUUUUCCUUUUUCUUCAGAAUGGUCUUAUUGCAAUUCUGAAAUCACUUCCUAGCUGAGCAACGCCUAUCUCAAAACACAGAUCGUUAGUGUGGAUGCAGCAUAAUCAGGACCAAAAUGCUGGACAGAAGAGUUGGUAGAGCUAAGAUAUGAGAUGUUGAUUAUAGCAAUUGUAGAUUUCUAGGAAGUAAUUAGGUAUGGAGUGACCCACUGGCAUUUUAUAUUACAAAUUGUGAUGAAGUACGCAUGGAAAGUAUUAUAAAUUUUAUUUUCAAGAUGACAUUAUGCAUCAAGACCACUUAAACUCAAAGGGCAUAAUUAGAAUGCAUCUCUCUGAUGAACUCAGGCUGGUUUUGUAAGGGAUUGCCAGAGACAAAUCUUAACAUACACGGGAAAGUAGAAGUCCCUUCGUACAUGCCAUGGGUUAAAAGACAUUGUAAGAAAGCAAUGCUUCAUUAAUGAGUGGUCACAAAAUCUAUUGAAUAAUAAAAACAAAGCAAGUUAUUCUGAAGGUCUCAGGCAGAAUAUAGUAGAUGAAUAAGAUGUAAUCUGCAGUAUAAUAAAUGUCUGCCAGUUAUAAACAAAUCAUCAGCUGAUACUUACUUCAAGAUGUCUAAAAGCAUCUACAUUCCUUCAAGGCUGUUUAGCCAGAUGUGUUUAUCUGUAUAUCUUACUCUGAUACAGGAAAAAUGUCAUCCUUUGCAAUGAAGAAUUCAAGGUAUGCUUUAUGUGUGAUAUCAUAACUAUGCCUGAAAACUAGAGUCUCCCACACAGAGAUGUCUGUACUGGUCUGUCUUGGUGUCUAUGACUCUAAAGCACUGCAGAUGUGCUGGGUAGAUGCAUCUCACCUCUUAUCACACCUCUCUUGCUUAACAGACUACUGCUCAUAGAUACAGGCACAAAGUAAGCAUGUGAUCUGUGUGGUAGAUUUUUCCCUCUCGUAAAACAGUGCUGUGUGGAUGAGGGCAGAUAUGGUAAAUUGCAGGAGGCUGUCAAAAUUUUACAUAGCGUGCUGAAACCACAACUCUGAAAGACACUGCUCAUCUGACACCUCUAAGCAUUUCUAAACUCAAACAGGCUUUUUUUUUUUUAAUGCCUAGGGCACAGUCUCCCCUCUUUUCUGCUGCUUCUUAGGUCUGUGGAAAUUUGUGAAGUAGAGAAGAGUGAUAAUGUAGUAGCUUUAUACAGCACUAUGUGUUCCGAGAAAGGUAAAAAACUAAAGGAACUUUCAAUUCUUUACUAAGGCAUACAUGACUCUGCCAGAAUUGUUCUUGAAGAUGACAUUUUUUGGAAACAUUUUCUGCUGUCUUCAACACAGCAUGUACUUCAAAAUUAUUGAAAAUUAAAUCCAUACUGAGAGAAUUCCAUCAUCUCCUAUGCCAAGAGAACCAAUCCAUGAUGAUGUGUCAAUAAGUGAAAAUAGACUCUUGUCAAACAAAACACGAGAGAAACUAUAAAAUUGUUUUACUGAUGU